AGUUGUUUUGGUCUAAGAGCAGGUUUUGCGAUGGUUUUUAUUAUACCGUGCCGAUUAAAUAGUUCGACAUUUUGGAAACUGAAAAUUCGUGCAACGAAAUGCACAAACAGUGCGCGCGGCAUGAAAUUCAAUGUAACCGGACAGUGCUUGAGUCAGCUGGUAGCAAUUAUCCGGGCAUCGAGGGAUGCGAUGUGCGCUGCAAGGAUCCCUUGGCACACGGAAGAUGAGCAUCGAUCCACAAGUUGAUUGGAUGGGCGGGCACGCUGUGCCUGGUCUCUAAUCUGUUUGUGGUGGCCACCUUUUCCAUCGACUGGCAGAAUGCAAGCAAGCUCUACAUGAAUCUAUGCUUCCUGAUUGCCUGCAUUGGCUGGCUCUUGCAAUUCACUUCAGGAUCCCGUAAGGAUAUUCUCUGUCGCAAGGAUGGCACUCUUCGCCAUUCCGAGCACACCGCCGGAGAGAAUCUCUCCUGCAUUGUGAUCUUUGUGCUGGUAUAUUAAUUCCUUACGGCCGGAAUGGUCUGGUUUGUGUUCCUCACCUAUGCCUGGCACUGGGUCAUGUCCAAGAUCGCAUAGACAAGAAGGGCUCGAACUUUUAUUUGGUUGCUUGGUCGCUGCCUCUGGUGCUGACCACCACCACAAUGGCCUUUUGCGAGGUGGAUGGCAAUAGUAUGGUCGGCAUCUGCUUUGUGGGCUACAUUAAUCAUCCGAUGCGCGCUGGCCUGCUGAUAAGACCGCCGAGGAGUGGGCUGAAAGCUUCAGGGAGUUUAUAAUGUGCAAAACAUCUUCGUUAUCAAGGAGAAGAGCUCUUGUCGCAUUGAGAAUCGUCCCAACGUGGGGGUCCUUCAUAGCAAAUGCUGUGCCUCUUCAGCUUGCUUUGCUACAAAGCUGCAUCUGCUCAAUGGACAUCAGGCAGCAUCUUCUUCUGCCACGGCACAAGUGGAUAGAUCAAUUAGAUCAGCCAGUCGCCCAAUUAACGAUCAGCCGGGGAUCAUUCGACUGCAGCAGCGUCUAUAUUUCGAAAAUAUAUAUCUCUGUAUACAUUUUUGGCGGUCCUGGAAAGGACCGAUUUUGGCGCCUAUCUAGGGUUGACCGCAUCAGUUUGGGAGUGUCCAUCUCUGACACUGCCACCACUAUGGCCACAAAUCUGUAUGGAUUUCUUUCGAACUCCGCACAGCUUCACGUCCGUGCUAUUGAGCCUGUGCAAGUUGGUGAACGGUGUCGCCGGGUAGGAGCAGACACGACCCAACAGUAUUUUACCUUGCAUGCGUUGCACUUUCAACUUCCACGUCCUGCGGUCCCUAUUCAAAGGGACAUAAAGCUCAUCGGGGCUCAGCACAAAACGGGUCAGGCUGGUAGAGCUGAUGGUUGUAAAUCAUGACUGCCCCGCAAUAUGUAAUUUAAAGCAUUGAUCAGCUGCUCUUCACUCCACUGGCUUGCAAAGGGCAAAAUUUGGUAAAUUUUUCAAUUUAUGAGAAAGAUGACCGGUAAUUAUUGCUGACAGUCCAACUGGAACGGAUGGAACCACCCAACCCAACUCUCAUCACUAUAUACAUACUUACAUUUUUGUAAAUUUACAAACUUAAAAGAACAAGACUUCUUUCCAGCUGAGUUCGGCUCCACCUGAGAAUUUAAAUACUUUUACAAUAAAUACCAAUACACAUACCCAUAAGCAGGAUCUUCUGGAUCGGUACCGUUGUUGAUGGCGGAAGAGACAGGGGCAGCAGCAGCAGCGGCGACACUUUCUGACUUAGCUUUCUUGCCUUUCUUUUCGGCUCGAAUGCUGGUUUUAUGACAAUUAUAUAGUUUCUGCGCCCAAUUCUUCAUUUUUCGCACAAAUGUCUGCUGUCUUCUGAUGUCAUUAAUUAUAACGAUGUUGCUAAGAAAAUAUUCGGCUACAAGAGAACAGACCAUCCGUUUCUCUCUUGGGCUUGCGCUGCUUUUUCAGCUGGAUUCCGUACACAUUGACGACUGUUGGACGCGUCGGAUAAAUGGCCGGAUAAUGCUCUACUGUCCGUAGAUACAUAGGUCAAAGUUAUCAGCGUCGCUGCUGAAGUAGUAGAAAUAAAGUUGUGUGGGCUGCGCGUAGUCGUGAUCCCGUAGGUGAUCAGGUCCGUGCGUCGGUGUCUGAUUCCGCGUCGGUAUCCGUUUUUUCCGCUUUGCUAGAUAGGUAGAUAUAGGUAUUAGGUAUAGUAGAGUACAAGUAUAUUUCAAAACAUCGC